UCCGGUGACCAUGGCGGAGGGGAAACACCCGUUCCCAUUCCGAAUACGGCAGUUAAGCCCUCCAGCGCCGAUGGUACUGCCCCCACAACGGGGCGGGAGAGUAGGACGUUGCCGGGG
rnacentral:rRNA from 1 species